AAUAAUUUUACUGUGAAACUGCGAAUGGCUCAUUAUAUAAGUUAUCGUUUAUUUGAUAGUACCUUACUACAUGGAUAACCGUGGUAAUUCUAGAGCUAAUACAUGCUAAAAACCUCGACUUCGGAAGAGGUGUGUUUAUUAGAUUAAAAACCAAUGCCCUUCGGGGCUCACUGGCGAUUCAUAAUAACCUCUCGAAUCGCAUGGCCUUGCGCCGGCGAUGGUUCAUUCAAAUUUCUUCCCUAUCAACUUUCGAUGCUAGAGUAGUGUUCUAGCAUGGUUACAACGGGUAACGGAGGGUUAGGGCUCGACCCCGGAGAAGGAGCCUGAGAAACGGCUACUACAUCCAAGGAAGGCAGCAGGCGCGCAAAUUACCCAAUCCCGACACGGGGAGGUAGUGACGAUAAAUACUGAUACAGGGCUCUUUUGGGUCUUGUAAUUGGAAUGAGUACAAUUUAAAUCCCUUAACGAGGAACAAUUGGAGGGCAAGUCUGGUGCCAGCAGCCGCGGUAAUUCCAGCUCCAAUAGCGUAUAUUAAAGUUGUUGUGGUUAAAAAGCUCGUAGUAGAACCUUGGGCCUGGCUGGCCGGUCCGCCUCACCGCGUGCACUGGUCCGGCCGGGCCUUUCCCUCUGUGGAACCGCAUGCCCUUCACUGGGUGUGCCGGGGAAACAGGACUUUUACUUUGAAAAAAUUAGAGUGCUCCAGGCAGGCCUUUGCUCGAAUACAUUAGCAUGGAAUAAUAGAAUAGGACGUGUGGUUCUAUUUUGUUGGUUUCUAGGACCGCCGUAAUGAUUAAUAGGGACAGUCGGGGGCAUCAGUAUUCAAUUGUCAGAGGUGAAAUUCUUGGAUUUAUUGAAGACUAACUACUGCGAAAGCAUUUGCCAAGGAUGUUUUCAUUUAUCAGGAACGAAAGUUAGGGGAUCGAAGACGAUCAGAUACCGUCGUAGUCUUAACCAUAAACUAUGCCGACUAGGGAUCGGACGAUGUUAUUUUUUGACUCGUUCGGCACCUUACGAGAAAUCAAAGUGCUUGGGCUCCAGGGGGAGUAUGGUCGCAAGGCUGAAACUUAAAGAAAUUGACGGAAGGGCACCACCAGGGGUGGAGCCUGCGGCUUAAUUUGACUCAACACGGGGAAACUCACCAGGUCCAGACACAAUGAGGAUUGACAGAUUGAGAGCUCUUUCUUGAUUUUGUGGGUGGUGGUGCAUGGCCGUUCUUAGUUGGUGGAGUGAUUUGUCUGCUUAAUUGCGAUAACGAACGAGACCUUAACCUGCUAAAUAGCCCGUAUUGCUUUGGCAGUACGCCGGCUUCUUAGAGGGACUAUC
rnacentral:rRNA from 1 species